rnacentral:lncRNA from 1 species
UUGGGAGCCAGGCCUGCACCCCAUAGAGUCAGCUCUGGUUUAGAGCCAGCCCUUCCACCCUCGCCACCUUCAGCCGCUAGCCCAAAUCUCAACGCUCUUCUCGCCCAUUCCCAAACAUCUCUGCGCUUCUCCCUUCCCCAUCCGAUCAUUUCUGUUUCCAUUAUUUUUCUUUCUUCGCAGUUCCUUCCACGGUGUCUUUGGAAAUGCUGAUUCCUCUCUUGGCUUUGUGCUGUUUUUAUUCGCCAAACCUAUUCCGUUGUAAACCGACUUCUCUGAAUCUCCAACCUCACCACAGGACCAGCCCUCCUUCCCUCUUCCUUGGCUGAGGGUGCACCGCUCCUGCCUCAGCAUCUUCUUGUGCUCUG